rnacentral:rRNA from 1 species
UACGGGGGGGGCAAGCGUUGUUCGGAAUUACUGGGCGUAAAGGGCUCGUAGGUGGCCAACUAAGUCGGACGUGAAAUCCCUCGGCUUAACCGGGGAACUGCGUCUGAUACUGGAUGGCUUGAGUCCGGAAGAGGCGAGUGGAAUUCCCGGUGUAGCGGUGAAAUGCGCAGAUAUCGGGAGGAACACCAAUGGCGAAGGCAGCUCGCUGGGACGGUACUGACGCUGAGGCGCGAAAGCGUGGGGAGCAAACAGG